rnacentral:rRNA from 1 species
GUGCCAGCAGCCGCGGUAAUACGUAGGUGGCAAGCGUUGUCCGGAAUUAUUGGGCGUAAAGCGCGCGCAGGUGGUUCUUUAAGUCUGAAGUGAAAGCCCACGGCUCAACCGUGGAGGGUCAUUGGAAACUGGGGAACUUGAGUGCAGAAGAGGAAAGUGGAAUUCCACGUGUAGCGGUGAAAUGCGUAAAGAUGUGGAAGGAACACCAGUGGCGAAGGCGACUUUCUGGUCUGUAACUGACACUGAGGCGCGAAAGCGUGGGGAGCGAACAGGAUUAGAUACCCUGGUAGUCC